UACGUAGGGUGCGAGCGUUGUCCGGAAUUAUUGGGCGUAAAGAGCUCGUAGGCGGUUUGUCACGUCUGCUGUGAAAUCCCGAGGCUCAACCUCGGGCCUGCAGUGGGUACGGGCAGACUGGAGUGCGGUAGGGGAGAAUGGAAUUCCUGGUGUAGCGGUGGAAUGCGCAGAUAUCAGGAGGAACACCGAUGGCGAAGGCAGCUCACUGGGACGGUACUGACGCUGAGACGCGAAAGCGUGGGGAGCAAACAGG
rnacentral:rRNA from 1 species